UAGCCUUUGUAGAGCUGUUUUAAAGCUGACAUAGCUGUAUACCAGUAGCAGUGAAUAGUCAUCAGGAAGGGAGAGUGGGUUGCACACUCACUCUUCCCAUUCUGCUUGGACAGCUCCCAAAGUGAGCGGCGCUGGCAGAUGAGGCGGUAUGGCCAGGCAUCUGGAGUUGCACUCAUUUAGUGUAUUUUUUUCUGCUUACUUAUGAAAUGCAAGCCACAAAUUAAAGCUGUCUCUCUUAUGGCUGGAACCCCACUGGAGGCAUCAGUUCACAUGCCACGUGUGCUUCCUCAGAUGUGAGUUCCCCUGUCAGAGUUUCACAAGGGUAUGCAAUUUGCACCUCACUGCACCUGGAAUCAGUCACACUUUUCAACGUCUUGUUUUAAAAGGAAUCUAGAUGAGAUGCAUGCAAACAGUAGAAACCACAGCUUUCCAAGCCACAGUGCUAAACAUUUCUUCUUCAGAGGACAAGGUACCUGUGCUCGGUGGUUCUUAAGGCAUUUGGAGAAAAUGGGUCAAUGUGUAUGUAUGGGAACAUCAAUACCUGAGAGACUCAAGCACUGAAAUGUCCCUUCAGGCGCUGUGAUAUACAACAAGACAUCCAUCAUUUUAAGCAAACUGCCUUCGUAGCAAGAAUUAUUUGCCACCUCUGCAAUCAAACAUGCAGAUCUCAGAUCAGCCUCAUCAGUCAUCUUUGGACUCAUGGAUGA